UGCUGGGAGGGGGUUAUCCGGUCCCUCCAGCGCUUCUGUUCUCCCACACACUGAUUUCUUGGAGUUGCCAAGAAGGGAUGCUCACGCCCAGAGCCCGGCGGCCAGAAGCCUAUUAGAAGAGCAUCUGCCAGCGUGUGCUCAUGAGCAACGGGAGGAUGUCCUGUAACCACAUGGCCCGGACACAUCCAUCCUAACCCACCAGCUUCACAUCGUCACUGCAGCAAGGCACUCUCCAUAUUCCUUCCAAUGGAUCUCAGGAAAGGAGCUGUUUCAAAUCUCUUUCCUUCCCAAGCUUCCCGUGCCUCUCCUCAGUGGAGAGCCAGCUUCCUGCAAGUCCCCACAAACACCAAAGUAUUGACAAUGGUCCUUUUUAUGAUGGUAAACAACUGGAAACAAAUAGUUGCCCCAUCUGCGGGGGAAUGAAUAAACAUGGUGGCACAUGAAUACAGUGGAAUAUUACUGUUAUAAGAAUGAGAUAGAUGAUGCACACUGAAAAACAUGGAAAGAGCUUCAUGAAUUGUGGUAGAGGCAAGUCAAGAACACAAUGGACCCAACUUUAACAAUGUAAAGAAACAGACAUGUCAAUCAAAAUUAUAAAAUUAUAAAGCAUUAGCAUGGGGGGAGCUCAGGGGAGCUAUAUAGAAGGUUCUGGGUUCAAAUCUAGCUCCAGACACCUCCUACCUGAGCAAGUCAUUUAACCCCCAUUGCCCAGCCCUUACUACUCUUUUCCCUUGGAACCAUGACAGUAUUGAUUCUAAGCACACAAAGUAAGGGUUUAAAAAAGUUAGCAUGCAUUGGAAGCAGAGAGCCAUUUGCAUGGCAGGGCAGUCCACAAGUGUUGCAUAUUACAAUCAUUUUUAGACUUUUUUCAAUAUAUUGAUCCAUCUCAUUUUUUCUUUUUUUUGGCUCUUUGGCUCUAAAUCCUCAUUAUUCGUCUGUUUCCGAUGCUUAGGAAGUCGUGUUUGUUCUUCAUUUCAAAGUGGACCAGUGACAUCACAGGCUGUCUUGAUGUGUUAUAGCUUCUUGGAGCUACAGAUGAGAGUUGGGUGAAAGGUGGACAUCAAAGGGGAUGAGCAGCCUUGACAAGCCCUCCCACCCACCUCCAUCACCUUGGAGGCCUUGUAGGGAACCAAGGAGGUAGCCUAAUUGGUACUUUUGAGCAUGAAAACUACAAGUAACCAGAAAAUGUUACUUCGGCUACCAUUUUCCUAUAGGGAACAUCAUUCGAGAUAUUUGUUUCUACUGAUCUGAUCAAAUACCAAACUAGGCAAGAUCACCCAGGCCUAGCCGAGAUGUUAAAAUCAAAAUGUACAACCUAACACUUCCCUACCUAGGUGGCUACAUGGCGCAGGGGACGCUGCUGGACUAGAAGAAAGGCCAGAGUUCAAAUCCUACUUUGAACCCUAAAAGGUAUGGACCAUGAGCAAGUCACUGCUCAGCUUGAAUUUCCCCACUGGUGAAAUGGAGAGAGGAUAGUUAGCACACCAAAAGAUCUAAUAAGAACCCUACAGCACCCCAUCAGUGCUUUGGUGACCACUUACCAGUGAGGUCAAAGUGAGGAGCAGAAUUCCCAUUGAGAAGUCCAAGGAUCUUUGUUCUGUUUUUGGAUGGAUGCCGCCAUUGGCUGCUGGUGAAUCACACAGCAUUGCUACUCUUGGGGGAGAGACAUAGGUGCGUACAAGAGGCAAAUGGGGCCUUCUUUUCCUGUGAAGGGUAUUGUAUUGACAUUUUGAUAGCAAGCAUGACCUUCUCUCUGCCAUUGGCCACAUUCCUCAGCUAGAUCCGUUGCUCUUUAUAAUGGAAGCCUCGGAGAUAUCAGGAAAAAUUAGUCAAUAGGUGGUGGAUGUUGCCUUCCGGGAGGAUUUUCUAGUUCCCUAUUGAAAACAGUUUGUGAGAACUCCCCUCUCCUAGACUAGAACAUGGUUCUAGGAGAAAUCAUUCUGUAUUUCGAUAUACACAGAAUAAAGCACAAAAACCAAAGUAGCCUUUUCCAUUAGACACAGUUUAAUUCAUUGAAAAGUGCAGCAGUGAACAGGGUCCUUGGAAGGGCACUUUCUAAACCAUAUGAAAUAAUACAAAGUAGGGGUAUGGUUAACAAGACAGAGAGUCAAACAAUACUAUGACCGGACCUCAGUAUCAUAACCAAAGGACUAAAAAGGAGCAUCUGCUUUGGUGGUUUGGUCGACUGAGAUCACCUUCCAGUGUAAAUUCUGGUAAAGUGGUGUUAAAGCCUUGGUUUUCUCCUCAUGUACAUUUGGAACAACAUUUCCCCCCCACAAAGGGUCCCAACCUUAAAACGUGACAAGUUAUAACGGUCCAUUGAAUGAUUUGCCAUGCUAGGGAACGCACGCUGCCCACAUUCUCUCGCUAUUCCAACAAAAUCUGUGGUUUGGUAGACCAAAGUAAACUUGUGGAGUGUCUGAAUCUGUCGGAUUACUGAGUGAGAGGCAGCUUCCUAAGGGAAGGGUCGUAAGGCAAGGCCUCUAUUUAUCUGGAGUUACAUGGCUCAUUGGUAAUAAAAGGUGCACACAGGGCAUAGUCAUCUCAAGAAAAAGUAGCACAAACCCUCCAGCCACGAUAUGGAUGGUCAAUACCAGUGGUGGAGAAAAACCUCCUGGGAGGGAUCAAGUCUGUUUUUUCCCCUGAAUAUGGCACCAGGUUUUAGAAUUGUCAAUACUAUGCUGCCCCUCCACCCCCCAAACACCAGAAGUUCCUUUGCACCAUUUUACAAAGGAUGGAGAACCAAUGAACAUGACUUGGGAGAUGGAAAGAGAAAGAAGCCAUGGAACUUCUUCCAUCACUUGGAUAUUGCGAGGGAAAGGGGCAGCAGCAUUGUAGGCAGUCAGCUUUAGUUGGUUUUGUGUGAUAGGUGCCUAUGUAUUAAAACUGGAAUAGGGGAAUGAUAUUCUCAAUGACUGAAUGGGAAAAUAUUUCUUUUUGCUCUGGAAAAAUGGCAAUAUUUAUUUUCAUUAGUAAGUACUAUAUACUGUGUUAGAUGAGAAUCAGUUUGCUUACAUGUUUUUUCACCCUUGUAAAGAAUCAAAUGUAAAGAACAAAAAGUCAGCCCCCAUAUUAGUGCGACAUCCUGGCCCGUCUUAUGCCAUUUCGGCUUAAAGAAUGGCCUUUCAAAGAACACUAACUAGAAAUCUCCUCCUGCUAAGAGUUUGCCACAGGGAUAACAUGUAGAGGUUAAUCUGAAUUCCACAUGUAAAUCAAGAAUCCUAAGCGAAAUGGGAAUCAUGUAAAGGGAUAAAUCCUAGGGCUGUUAACCAGAAUUGCUAUCUAAGGAUGAAAAACAAGACAUUUAAAGCUUCACAUACAAUCCUAAAUAAAGCUAAAAAUCUUUUUUUUUUUUUUUGCCUGAGACGAGUCAGUCCAUUAUGAACCACAUAUUCCUUCUGCCUGCCCGCCUAUAAACUGGCUCUCGUUUUUAAAAAGUAGAUACAAGUUAGACAGCAAUACUGCAUGGUGUUAAGAUCCCUCAGGGUGGGAAACAUGACCACGGUUAGUUUUUCUCCACAGUGAGAAGCUAUAAGAACCAGAGUUAAACCACAGGAGAUUCUAACACUUUUAAAUUAUUUAAUGAUUUCAGACAGGAAAGGGGCAGAAUUUUUAUACUUCUAGGCAACCACCAAGGGAAAAAGAGGGGGUGGGCAAUGGGAAAGAUGUGAAAAACAGGCUUGCCAAUAAAUUGGCACAGAAGAGUCAAAAAAAAGUCAAGGCAGGCCAAAAAACCAAUUACUCGACAGGUGGUCAAAA